GAUGAACGCUGGCGGCGUGCUUAACACAUGCAAGUCGAACGGACGGAUUGGAGCUUGCUCCAUGAAGUUAGUGGCGGACGGGUGAGUAACGCGUGGGUAACCUGCCCUAUGCAGGGGGGAUAACGUUUGGAAACGAACGCUAAUACCGCAUAACCUAGUUGGUUCGCAUGAACCGAUUAGCAAAGAUUUUAUCGGCAUAGGAUGGACCCGCGUUGGAUUAGCUAGUUGGUGAGAUAAAAGCUCACCCAAGGCGACGAUCCAUAGCCGGCCUGAGAGGGUGAACGGCCACACUGGGACUGAGACACGGCCCAGACUCCUACGGGAGGCAGCAGUGGGGAAUAUUGCACAAUGGGCGCAAGCCUGAUGCAGCGACGCCGCGUGAAGGAUGAAGGUUUUCGGAUCGUAAACUUCUAUCAGCAGGGAGGAACCAAAUGACGGUACCUGACUAAGAAGCCCCGGCUAACUACGUG
rnacentral:rRNA from 1 species